UAGGGAAUCUUCGGCAAUGGACGAAAGUCUGACCGAGCAACGCCGCGUGAGUGAAGAAGGUUUUCGGAUCGUAAAACUCUGUUGUUAGAGAAGAACAAGGACGUUAGUAACUGAACGUCCCCUGACGGUAUCUAACCAGAAAGCCACGGCUAACUACGUGCCAGCAGCCGCGGUAAUACGUAGGUGGCAAGCGUUGUCCGGAUUUAUUGGGCGUAAAGCGAGCGCAGGCGGUUUCUUAAGUCUGAUGUGAAAGCCCCCGGCUCAACCGGGGAGGGUCAUUGGAAACUGGGGGACAUGAGUGCAGAAGAGGGGAGUGGAAUUCCAUGUGUAGCGGUGAAAUGCGUAGAUAUAUGGAGGAACACCAGUGGCGAAGGCGGCUCUCUGGUCUGUAACUGACGCUGAGGCUCGAAAGCGUGGGGAGCAAACAGG
rnacentral:rRNA from 1 species